rnacentral:rRNA from 1 species
AGGGAAUAUUGCGCAAUGGGCGAAAGCCUGACGCAGCGACGCCGCGUGAGUGAUGAAGGCCUUAGGGUCGUAAAGCUCUGUUGUACGGGAAAAAGCAAGUGAUGGUACCGUAAAAGAAAGGACCGGCUAACUUCGUGCCAGCAGCCGCGGUAAGACGAGGGGUCCUAGCGUUGUUCGGAAUUAUUGGGCGUAAAGCGUGUGUAGGCGGCUAUGUAAGUCAGGUGUGAAAUCCCCGGGCUCAACCCGGGAAGUGCAUUUGAUACUGCGUAGCUUGAGUAUUGGAGAGGGUAGUGGAAUUCCUGGUGUGGUGGUGAAAUACGUAGAUAUCAGGAGGAACACCGGUGGCGAAGGCGGCUACCUGGCCAAAUACUGACGCUGAGACACGAAAGCGUGGGGAGCAAAC